rnacentral:rRNA from 1 species
UGAACGCUGGCGGCGUGCUUAACACAUGCAAGUCGUACGAGAACGCUCUAGCUUGCUAGAGCAAGUAAAGUGGCGCACGGGUGAGUAACGCGUGGGUAAUCUACCUUCGAAUUGGGGAUAACGUUGCGAAAGCGACGCUAAUACCGGAUGACAUCCAUUUAUCUUCGGAUUUUUGGAUCAAAGGUGGCCUCUACAUGUAAGCUACUGUUUGGGGAUGAGCCCGCGUACCAUUAGCUUGUUGGUGGGGUAACGGCCUACCAAGGCAACGAUGGUUAGCUGGUCUGAGAGGAUGAUCAGCCACACUGGAACUGACACACGGUCCAGACUCCUACGGGAGGCAGCAGUGAGGAAUUUUGCGCAAUGGGGGAAACCCUGACGCAGCAACGCCGCGUGAGUGAUGAAGGCUUUCGGGUCGUAAAGCUCUGUCAAGUGGGAAGAACCUAUAUAAUGUUAAUACCAUUAUAUACUGACGGUACCACUGAAGGAAGCACCGGCUAACUCC